AAUAAGUGCAGUUUUGCACUAUUCACGUUCAACGUUUGACCGUUCGUCUUAUUUGAAAUUUUCUAUGAUUAGUAUUUUUAUUGAUAUUAAAUGAUAAAAUAUGAAUAGUACUUUAUGUGUGACUAAAUAUUUUUAAUUUUUUCACAAAUUUUUCAAAUAAGACGAACGGUCAAACGUUGGGUACGGAUAUCCACGGCUGCACUUAUU
rfam:Oryza sativa Japonica Group DNA, chromosome 1, cultivar: Nipponbare, complete sequence.